rnacentral:other from 1 species
AAUUUUCUGCGAUGUUAGUAGCUCUUAUUUUGUCUUAAACCGAUAUGUAAAAACCGGGAAUCCUACAUGCCUGUUGAAUACACCGUGCCUCUCUCUUUUAGACAGUGGAAGGUGAAAAGAUAGCUGCGGAUACCCACCUGUGAGAACGGGUUUUAAGACAGGAUGGGUUACGGCAAAGCGGAUAUACA